rfam:Canis lupus familiaris chromosome 30, whole genome shotgun sequence.
AGCUUUGCGCAGUGGCAGUAUCGUAGCCAAUGAGGUUUAUCCGAGGCAUGAUUAUUGCUAAUUGAAAUGUCAUUUAUAAAUAUCUUUUCAAAAAAAUAAAUAAAUAAAAAUAAA